AAAUCUGGAGUCUUUGGCUAUCCGAGUUGUAAUCUAGAGAAGCGUUAUCCGCGCUGGACCGUGUAUAAGUCUCCUGGAACGGAGCGUCAUAGAGGGUGAGAAUCCCGUCUUUGACACGGACUCCCAGGGCUUUGUGAUGUGCUCUCAAAGAGUCGAGUUGUUUGGGAAUGCAGCUCUAAAUGGGUGGUAAAUUCCAUCUAAAGCUAAAUAUUGGCGAGAGACCGAUAGMGAACAAGUACCGUGAGGGAAAGAUGAAAAGAACUUUGGAAAGAGAGUUAAACAGUACGUGAAAUUGUUGAAAGGGAAACGCUUGAAGUCAGUCGCAUUGAUCAGGGAUCAACCUUGCUUUUUUGCUUGGUGUACUUCCUGGUUAAUGGGUCAGCAUCAAUUUUGACCAGUGGAAAAAGAUUAAGGGAAUGUGGCAUCUUCGGAUGUGUUAUAGCCUUUGGUCGCAUACAUUGGUUGGGAUUGAGGAACUCAGCACGCCGCAAGGCCGGGUUUUUAACCACGUUCGUGCUUAGGAUGCUGGCAUAAUGGCUUUAAUCGACCCGUCUUGAAACACGGACCAAGGAGUCUAACAUGCCUGCGAGUGUUUGGGUGGAAAACCCAAGCGCGUAAUGAAAGUGAAAGUUGGGAUCCCUGUCGUGGGGAGCACCGAUGCCCGGACCAGACCUUCUGUGACGGAUCCGCGGUUGAGCAUGUAUGUUGGGACCCGAAAGAUGGUGAACUAUGCCUGAAUAGGGUGAAGCCAGAGGAAACUCUGGUGGAGGCUCGUAGCGAUUCUGACGUGCAAAUCGAUCGUCGAAUUUGGGUAUAGGGCGAAAGACUAAU
rnacentral:rRNA from 1 species